GAUGCAGGUGUGGAGCAAAGAGAAUGAGGCCUGUGGAUUUUGUCCUCCAUCACAAGAAGUGGAAAUAUGCAAGGAGACUCUCGAGGGACCGCCACAACCUGCAACUCACGGCAUCACGUGACCGACGGGAGGUGGCAGUGAGUGACUUUUCAG